UCAAGCUGUAAAGGGCGCAAGGGGAAUGCCUUGGCACUGAGAGCCGACGAAGGACGCGACAAGCUGCGAUAAGCUACGGGGAGCCGCAAAUGGGCUUUGAUCCGUGGAUUUCCGAAUGGGGAAACCCGGCAGAGCAAUACUCUGUCAACAUGUACUGAAUACAUAGGUACAUGUGGGGAACCGCCUGAACUGAAACAUCUAAGUAGGGCGAGGAAGAGAAAUCAACCGAGAUUCCGCUAGUAGUGGCGAGCGAACGCGGAAGAGGCCAAACCGGAGGUAGCAAUAUUUCCGGGGUUAGGACUGCAAUAUGUAACUUUAAUCUUUAACUGAAUGCUUUGGGAAGAGCAGCAAUAUAGGGUGAUAGCCCCGUAAGUGAAAAGGAUUGAGUGCUAGCAGUAUCCAGAGUACCAGCGGACACGUGAAACCCGCUGGGAAGAUGGGGGGACCAUCCUCCAAGGCUAAAUACUACUCAGUGACCGAUAGUGGAGCAGUACCGUGAGGGAAAGGUGAAAAGUACCCCGGGAGGGGAGUGAAAAAGAACCUGAAACCUUGUGCCUACAAGCACCGAGAGCACGUUAAAGUGUGAUCGGGUACUUUUUGUAGAACGGUCCGGCGAGUUAAUAUUUGCAGCGAGGUUAAGGAACUGGAGUUCCGGAGCCGCAGCGAGAGCGAGUCUGAAAAGGGCGUAUGAAGUUGCAGGUAUUAGACCCGAAACCGGGUGACCUAUCCAUGAGCAGGCUGAAGCGGUGGUAAGACACCGUGGAGGGCCGCACCCACGUCUGUUGAAAAAGCCGGGGAUGACUUGUGGAUAGCGGAGAAAUUCCAAUCGAACUCGGAGAUAGCUGGUUCUCCCCGAAAUAGCUUUAGGGCUAGCGUUAUUUUAGAUUACCGGAGGUAAAGCACUGAAUGGUCUAGGGGCCGCGAGGUUACCAAAGCCUAUCAAACUCUGAAUGCCGGAUAAUUGAUGAAUAGCAGUCAGACUGUGUGAGAUAAGUCUCAUAGUCAAAAGGGAAACAGCCCAGAUCUACAGCUAAGGUCCCAAAUGAACACUAAGUGGAAAAUGAUGUGAAACUGCGAAGACAACCAGGAUGUUGGCUUAGAAGCAGCCACUCAUUCAAAGAGUGCGUAAUAGCUCACUGGUCGAGUGGUUUUGCGCAGAAAAUGUAACGGGGCUAAGUGUUCAACCGAAGCUUAGGCAUUGCAGUAAUGCAUUGGGUAGGGGAGCGUCGUAUGCGGGGCGAAGUCAGAGCGGAAGCACUGGUGGACUGCAUACGAGUGAGAAUGCCGGAAUAAGUAGCGAGAAUUAUGUGAGAAUCAUAAUGGCCGAAAAUCUAAGGUUUCUUGGGGAAGGUUCGUCCGCCCAAGGUUAGUCGGGAGCUAAGCUCAGGCCGAAAGGCGUAGGCGAUGCACAUACGGUAGAAAUUCCGUAACCACCGAACAUUUAAGCUAGAGGGACGCUUUCUUUAAGUCUAUCCCGGGCGAUGGUUGCCCCGGGCGUAAGGGACCGAAAUAUAGUAGGGAAGUAGAUGGCGAGAGAGACGAGAAAAGCUCUAGUGUAUACUAAGGUGCCCGUACCGCAAACCGACACAGGUAGAUGGGAUGAGUAUUCUAAGGCCAACGGGAGAAGGGUUGUUAAGGAACUCGGCAAAUUGGCCCCGUAACUUCGGGAUAAGGGGCGCCUGCGAGAGCAGGCCGCAGUGAAAAGGCCCAAGCGACUGUUUAGCAAAAACACAGCUCUCUGCUAAAUCGAAAGAUGACGUAUAGGGGGUGACGCCUGCCCGGUGCUGGAAGGUUAAGGGGAGUGCUUAGCGCAAGCGAAGGUGCGAACUUAAGCCCCAGUAAACGGCGGCCGUAACUAUAACGGUCCUAAGGUAGCGAAAUUCCUUGUCAGGUAAGUUCUGACCCGC
rnacentral:rRNA from 1 species